rnacentral:rRNA from 1 species
UGGGGAAUUUUGGACAAUGGGCGAAAGCCUGAUCCAGCAAUGCCGCGUGUGUGAAGAAGGCCUUCGGGUUGUAAAGCACUUUUGUCCGGAAAGAAAACGCCGUGGUUAAUACCCGUGGCGGAUGACGGUACCGGAAGAAUAAGCACCGGCUAACUACGUGCCAGCAGCCGCGGUAAUACGUAGGGUGCAAGCGUUAAUCGGAAUUACUGGGCGUAAAGCGUGCGCAGGCGGUCCGCUAAGACAGAUGUGAAAUCCCCGGGCUUAACCUGGGAACUGCAUUUGUGACUGGCGGGCUAGAGUAUGGCAGAGGGGGGUAGAAUUCCACGUGUAGCAGUGAAAUGCGUAGAGAUGUGGAGGAAUACCGAUGGCGAAGGCAGCCCCCUGGGCCAAUACUGACGCUCAUGCACGAAAGCGUGGGGGAGCAAACAGGAUUAGAUACCCUGGUAGUCCACGCCCUAAACGAUGUCAAACUAGGUUGUCGGGUCUUCAUUGACUUGGUAACGUAGCUAACGCGU